rnacentral:lncRNA from 1 species
AGUUAUCCUGCCUGGCUUAUGCAGUGCUGGGAAUAGAACCCAGGACAUCACACAUGCUAGGCAAGAACAUUACCAACUGAUCUGUAUUCCCAGCUUUAGUAUCAACAUCCUAAGAUGCCGAGAGUAAAUACGGUAUCAAGCCUGCGGUCCAGAUUCUGUGUGUGUAUAAGGAGGCUGGAAUGUUGACCAGUAGUAGAACAAGCAGUUAAGGAAUGUCCUGGGUUUGAUUCCCAGCACUGAAAACGUGUGUGUGUGUGUGUGUGUGUGUGUGUGUGUGUGUGUGUGUGUGUUUUGUGGGGGGAGAGGUGGUGUUGCUCCUGUUUGUCUUUCAGUUUCCAGACUGAAUGCCUUGGCUUUCACGAGAGCAGAUGCUAUUCUUAGAACUUGUCUCAGCGAGUCUCAUUCCUUCUCAGACUCCCUUCAUCUUUUGUUAGUGGGUGCAUCUGAUGUAGCACUUAGUUUUUAUCCAACUUGUUCUUUCUUGUUCACUCUGCAUACAGUUGCAUCUGCAUACCAGGGAGGACCUUCAGUAAGGAGUGGCUGAUCCAGAUGUUGGUGUGGUGAGCAGGCCUCGAGUACAGGAGAAAGCCAGCGACUGUCCGGUUGUGCCCUUGGGUUACUCUUGGCUUAGGUGGUGGGAGUACAGUAGAGGGACAGGGAAGAUGGUCAGAGAUCCAUCCUUUAGCUACUGAGGCAGAGUCCGUGAGAGUAGAGUGGGGUUUUCUUUAGAGAAGACUGUUUAGAUGAGGAAACUAGCAGGGAAGGAAGAAAAUGUAUUAGAAGAGUGAAAGGUGAGUAGGAAUCUUGACGGUUUCUGGAAUGAGGCUUGUGGUGCUUGGGCGGCAACGCCGGUCAGGACUCGGGCAUAUCUGUAGCUGUUCUCUCCGGAGGCUGAGGAACAGUCUGAGUGGUUUCCAGGGGAUGAACAUCUAAAAUUGUGCUGGGAAUGAAUGCGCAGCACAGAGCGGCUGGGCCCGUUCUCUUACAGGUGGUUUCGGUCCAGUCUCUGUCUGAGGACAACAGGAAGAGACAGAGAAUGCCUGGCAGGUAGCUCUGUUCCCGUUCUUUCCCUCAGAGACAGUCAUUCUGAAGCUGCCCACAGCAACAUCAGAGUCUUUGUCCAUUUUUGGUUGAAAUUGCUUACGCGCCUUCCUGACACCCUCCCCACCUCCUCUGAGUUGUGUAACAGAGAAUUAAAUGUGCUUUCC